UAUGUGUGUGUUUGGUUCUGAGGUGUGUAGAAUUGAUUCUGACAGAAUUGAUUCUGAAAGAAUUGAUUUUGACAGAAUUGAUUCUGACAGAAUUGAUUUAUGUUUGGAUGCAAUAAUGCAGAAUUGAUUAAACAGAAUGAUUGUUGUUUGGAUAGUUUUGAUCAAAAUUACUUUUGAAUGUAUAAUUACCAAAAUAGACAUAGUUAAAUACAAAUAAAUAGAAAUUACUAAAUUAA
rnacentral:lncRNA from 1 species